GGCUGGGGAAGAGUGGGGGGGUUCUCUAGGGCUCUGUCCUAGACAUUCUUUUCACCUUGGGCAAGAUGACUUCCUUGGCUUCUAGGACCUCUGAACCCAAGAGCCAUACAUAUGUCCAGCCAACCACCUCUUACUUACCAGAUCCAUGUGGUGGUGCCCAGCCACCUCGGGUGCAACCUGAGUUCUCAUCUUCGUCCCCAGCGUUGUCCCAGAGUUCCCCCCACCCCCGUCCUAUGUUGUUAAAACCAAAAACUGAAUGACUCCCUCCUUUCCCUCAUCCCCCACCCAAGCCUGGUCAAUUCUAACCCAGAAAUAUUUCAUCAUUCUGUCCCCAUCCAUUCCCGUUAUCAACAGGCUGAUCAAAGCUAGCAUCUGCUGCUCAGACGAAAUAGCCUUAUUUGGUCUCUCCACACACUUUCUUGCUCUCAGCGGAUCCCUCCUCUACAGCAGCCGGAAUAAGCUUUGAAUGCAGGUCUGCACGCUACUCUUCAUGUUCCUUUCUCGGCUUCCCACAAUUAUCCACCUGCCCUGGCCAUCAGCCAUGUCACAGCCUUAAGUUUGCCAAUGCUCUUCCUACCUUGCCGCUUCCCCUUGAACUUACCUCAACUAAACUCUCAUUAACCUUGAUAAACUCGAUCCAGGAACCUGAUCUCAUGACCUUUACGCAUGAAAAUAAGGGAAAGGUUGGGCCAGAUCUGUUCCUGAGGGUACUGCUGUUUUGCUAAGCUCCGUUCUUGGAUGCUGACAAUAGGAAGCUCUGGUGGCCUCUCUGGUUCUUUUUGCUGGAUUCGCCUCCAUUCUCCAUACACUCCUCCAGGAUCCCCGGCGUGCCUGCACCCAAAGCUUUCAUGGCCUCUGCUGACCCCGAUCCCUUGUCCCUCAGGACUCAGCUCAAGAACCACCUCCUGCAGGAAACCUCCUGGUAGAUCCAUUUUGCAUCCUCGUCUGGGGCUGAAGCAAAUAGGGAGGAGGGAGAGAGAGAAACAUCUCAGACAUGCCAGCACUGAGCGCAGAGUGAGUUCAACAGAAAUACACCAAAUUAAAUGA
rnacentral:lncRNA from 9 species